rnacentral:rRNA from 1 species
UACGGAGGGUGCAAGCGUUAUCUGGAUUUACUGGGUUUAAAGGGUGUGUAGGCGGGCUUUUAAGUCAGUGGUGAAAUCUCCGGGCUCAACCUGGAAACUGCCAUUGAUACUAUUAGUCUUGAAUAUUGUUGAGGUAGGCGGAAUAAGUCAUGUAGCGGUGAAAUGCAUAGAUAUGACUUAGAACACCGAUUGCGAAGGCAGCUUACUAAGCAAUGAUUGACGCUGAGGCACGAAAGCGUGGGGAUCAAACAGG